rnacentral:rRNA from 1 species
UACGGGGGGGGCAAGCGUUGUUCGGAAUUACUGGGCGUAAAGGGCUCGUAGGCGGCCAACUAAGUCAGACGUGAAAUCCCUCGGCUUAACCGGGGAACUGCGUCUGAUACUGGAUGGCUUGAGGUUGGGAGAGGGAUGCGGAAUUCCAGGUGUAGCGGUGAAAUGCGUAGAUAUCUGGAGGAACACCGGUGGCGAAGGCGGGUCUCUGGGCCGUAACUGACGCUGAGGAGCGAAAGCGUGGGAGCGAACAGG